rnacentral:lncRNA from 10 species
CUCCUCCUCACUGCUUGAGCUCCAGGGCCCAGACGUGCUGCGGCCAGCCCGUCCGGCCUUUGGUUUUCUUGUCGUUGCUGCUCACUGUGCUUUUCAAGAUUUCGUUCUGGACAGAGGAAAGGCGAGGGCGAGAAAAGUGGAAAGAGAAAUUCAGAGAGGAUACCUGGUUCCACACCAACCCGGAGCUUCCUGCGCCGGAGGAGACAGUGAACCAGAGAGGAAAGGAUACGAUGGGGGAGUCCCAGCCCCUGCAGAGAAGCUACCAAGGUUAGCGCUACCCUAGCCGGCGGGGAGGCCUCGGCGCUGCAGCGCUCAACAACCGGAUCCACAAGUUUAUAAACAACCGCCCGUUUUCGAGUCGUUUAUGGAGGAGCGGGGGGCCUUUUCUCUUACUCCAGAUGUAGGGGCGGGAGCUGGAGUCGGCGCUAAGUCUGGUUUCUCUGUUUUCAUUAGCAAUCCUAGAUCCACAUCUAGGAAAAAUAGGGCGAAGGAGCCUCUGUUUCGGCCUGGGCCUCUCGGCCAGAGGCUCUCGGCCUCCAGCUCAGCAGUGCCUCUCCUCCAAGGCUUCUGAAAUCUCUGGUUAUUCGGGAGGUCACUCGAUUAUGCAGCCACCAAAGGGCUGCAGGGGCCAAAGAAGAAAAAUUCGACAAAUGCAAUUAUUUUCCGGGCCCUUCGUGGACAUAGCUCUAUCCUGCACCACUGCCCUGUGGGCACUUGGUAGGAAUCUGAGAAAAUUUUAAGCGGCUCAAUUUACUUUCGUGUUAUUUUUAAUAACAAUGACCAUAGUAAUGCCUUUUCCCCCUUAAAAUGUACAGGCUUAUUCAAAUAAAAUUAGAAAUGCCAAUGGAAUAUACUCAUCUGGGAAAUUACAUUUUAACGUCAUAGCCAAGGAAAAAUUGGAGCUGUAUUUUGAAGUCAAAAGUACUUAUUUUAUGUUUACCAUUACGUUUUCCGGGCAUAGUAUGAGAACAACCACAAAACUCAGGGCUCAGUCUCUGGCAGCCUCCUUCUGGGAGUGGGGUAGGGGGUGCGAUCAAUAGUGAAAUAAUUGGAAUCAAGGGCUUCUUCGAGACUUAUUCUGGAAACAUCUGAAAGCAAGAUUGGAUUGGAGGCCAAAAGAAGGGUCUAACAGAGACGGGGUGAGGCAUCCAGACCAGUGCGAUCGCGAUCGAUCGCGACCCAGAGUUUUCAAGGUCCGUCCUAAGUACUAGGGGAGCAGCGAUAACCCGGAGGGACACCAGUCCCUACGAAGACCUUGGGCGAUUUUGAAGUGCGGGCACCUCGAUUCCCCGAAUCUGUAGUGUGGCUGGUAUCGGUGUUCCCCUGGUUUAACUAGCCUGUUUGAAGGCACAGAUCAUUCAUGGGGAUGUAUAACCGAAACCAGUCCUCUCCACCGCCUGGGGAUCUUCACUUUCGCAGUCUACGACUGCCUGUGACUCCAGAAAGACAAACUGCAGAUUGGCCAAGAUGGGGAAAUUGAGGCAGAGAAGCCAAGACAUGUGCUAAAGGUCAUGCAGGCUAUGAAUGGAGCUGGAAUGUGAACGCAGGCCAUAUGACCCCAGAGCCCAUGUUCUUGAACCCUUAGAAAGACAGCAGCAACACACCUGGUGCAGCAGCUGCUUAGUUGGAGUGGCUGACAAGGUUGGCAGAGGAUCCCGUUCCUCCCGUGGAGUGGCUGCCAUGAUACUGCCUGCACUGAAGCUGCUCCUAUUUCUGAAAUAUGUAUUGUUAUUUUUUUCCCUGCAUGUUGAACAUUAUACUCUUCUGUUCUUUCGCAUUCUCUUCUUCCCUUCCGGAUGACUUCUAGGGUUUUUGUGAUUCUGUAAUUCUAAAGGAGAAAGGAUAAUAAGAAUUGUGAGGCCGGGCGCGGUGGCUCAUGCCUGUAAUCACAGCACUUUGGGAGGCCAAGGUGGGCGGAUCACUAGGUGAGGAGAUGGAGACCAUCCUGGCUAACACGGUGAAACCCCGUCUCUACUAAAAAUACAAAAAAUUAGCGGGGUGUGGUGGCGGGCGCCUGUAGUCCCAGCAACUCGGGAGGCUGAGGCAGGAGAAUGGCGUGAACCCGGGAAGCGGAGCUUGCAGUGAGCCGAGAUUGCGCCACUGCACUCCAGCCUGGGCGAAGAGGGAGACUCCAUCUU